GAUGAAGAACGUAGCGAAAUGCGAUACGUAAUGUGAAUUGCAGAAUUCAGUGAAUCAUCGAAGCUUUGAACGCAUAUUGCGCUCUCUGGUAUUCCGGAGAGCAUGCUUGUUUGAGUAUCAGUAAACACCUCAACUUCCAUAUCUUUUUUGAAAUGGGAGUUGGACUUGAGUGAUCCCAACGCUUUUCCUCACCGAAAAGUGGCGGGUUACUUGAAAUGCAGGUGCAGCUGGACUUUUCUCUGAGCUUAUAAGCAUAUCUAUUUAGUCUGCCUAAAAAACAGAUUAUUACCUUUGCUGCAGCUAACAUAAAGGAGAUUAGUUCUUGUGCUGACUGAUGCAGGAUUCACAAAGACAGGCUUCGGCCGACUUUGUAAACUCGAUCUCAAAUCAAGUAAGACUACCCGCUGAACUUAAGCAUAUCAAUAAGCGGAGGA
rnacentral:misc_RNA from 1 species